GUGGGUAGCGGUGAAAUUCCAAUCGAGCCCGGAGAUAGCUGGUUCUCCCCGAAAUAGCUUUAGGGCUAGCCUCAAGGUGAGAGAUACGGAGGUAGAGCACUGAAUGUCCUAGGGGGUAUUGCACCUACCGAAGACUAUCAAACUCCGAAUGCCGUCAUCUUAUACUUGGGAGUCAGACUGUGGGUGAUAAGAUUCAUAGUCGAAAGGGCAACAGCCCAGAUCGUCAGCUAAGGUCCCUAAAUGUAAGUUAAGUGGUAAAGGAUGUGGGAUUGCACAGACAACCAGGAUGUUGGCUUAGAAGCAGCCACUCAUUCAAAGAGUGCGUAAUAGCUCACUGGUCGAGUGAUCCUGCGCCGAAGAUUUCCGGGGCUAAAACUUACUACCGAAGCUACGGCAUCAGUAAUGAUGGGUAGGGGAGCUUCCCAUACAGGUUGAAGCAUGACCGUAAGGACAUGUGGACAGUAUGGGAGUGAGAAUGUUGGCAUGAGUAGCGAGAUGUGGGUGAGAAUCCCACAGGCCGUAAACCCAAGGUUUCCAGGGGAAGG
rnacentral:rRNA from 1 species